UGGAAUUUAAGGGUAUCAUGACGGAGUAUUUCUGUCGUGUGUCCUUAAGGGGUUGGGGACCUUUGCCUGCUUCUGCCAUCCUCCCACACAUUGCAUUUCUUGUUUUAAUGGGGUUUUUCACUAUUUACAUUUUUAAAGGGGAUUUUCACAGGAUAGUGUCUUUGGUAGACAUGGUAUUUUCAGUCUUAGGUAGACUUCUAUUACUCCACGGGUUGGAGGAUUGCCUUUGGUAGGCAGUAGUAGUUAUUGUGCACAUUUCCUCUUUGGUAAGAGGUUCACCUUUGGCCAGGUGUUAAAAAUAAUUUCAAGCCUUUGGUAGGCUGUGAUGUCCUGUGAUGUACAUUUACAUAUGGG